rfam:Oryza nivara chromosome 5, whole genome shotgun sequence.
AAAAAGACAAACUCUAAAUUUCCGUGUCUAAUGUUUGACUAUCCGUCUUAUAUGAAAUUUUUUUUAUGAUUAGUAUUUUCAUUGUUGUUAGAUGAUAAACCAUGAUUAAUUCUUUAUACUUAACUUACUUUUUUAAUUUUUUUUAUAAUUUUUCAAAUAAGACGGAUGGUCAAACGUUGGACACGGAUACCCAGGGUUUGACUUUUU